rnacentral:rRNA from 1 species
UACGUAGGGUGCAAGCGUUUAAUCGGAAUUACUGGGCGUAAAGCGUGCGCAGGCGGUUUUGUAAGUUUGUCGUGAAAUCCCCGGGCUCAACCUGGGAAUGGCGAUGAAGACUGCAAGGCUAGAGUUUGGCAGAGGGGGGGUAGAAUUCCACGUGUAGCAGUGAAAUGCGUAGAUAUGUGGAGGAACACCGAUGGCGAAGGCAGCCCCCCUGGGUCAAAAACUGACGCUCAUGCACGAAAGCGUGGGGAGCAAACAGG